rfam:Halomicrobium mukohataei DSM 12286, complete genome.
CUGAUGGGCGCGUUCGGGUCAAUUGCGGACUGCAACACCCGAUCUCUCUCCCGGUACCUUCCGCGAUGGAAGUGCCCGGCGAGGGGGAGCGCGUCACCGUCAG